UAGGGAAUCUUCCGCAAUGGACGCAAGUCUGACGGAGCAACGCCGCGUGAGUGAAGAAGGAUUUCGGUUCGUAAAGCUCUGUUGUUAAGGAAGAACGAGUGUGAGAAUGGAAAGUUCAUGCUGUGACGGUACUUAACCAGAAAGGGACGGCUAACUACGUGCCAGCAGCCGCGGUAAUACGUAGGUCCCGAGCGUUGUCCGGAUUUAUUGGGCGUAAAGCGAGCGCAGGCGGUUAGAUAAGUCUGAAGUUAAAGGCAGUGGCUCAACCAUUGUAGGCUUUGGAAACUGGUUGACUUGAGUGCAGAAGAGGAGAGUGGAAUUCCAUGUGUAGCGGUGAAAUGCGUAGAUAUAUGGAGGAACACCAGUGGCGAAGGCGACUCUCUGGUCUGUAACUGACGCUGAGGCUCGAAAGCGUGGGUAGCAAACAGG
rnacentral:rRNA from 1 species